UUUAAAGGAAGUUUUCGGAGUGGAAUUUGAAAUGACUGAGCGGCGGACGGGUGAGUAACGCGUGGGUAACCUGCCUCAUACAGGGGGAUAACAGUUAGAAAUGACUGCUAAUACCGCAUAAGCACACAGUACCGCAUGGUACAGAGUGAAAAACUCCGGUGGUAUGAGAUGGACCCGCGUCUGAUUAGCUGGUUGGCGGGGUAACGGCCCACCAAGGCGACGAUCAGUAGCCGACCUGAGAGGGUGACCGGCCACAUUGGGACUGAGACACGGCCCAAACUCCUACGGGAGGCAGCAGUGGGGAAUAUUGCACAAUGGGGGAAACCCUGAUGCAGCAACGCCGCGUGAGUGAAGAAGUAUUUCGGUAUGUAAAGCUCUAUCAGCAGGGAAGAAAGUGACGGUACCUGACUAAGAAGCCCCGGCUAACUACGUGCCAGCAGCCGCGGUAAUACGUAGGGGGCAAGCGUUAUCCGGAUUUACUGGGUGUAAAGGGAGCGUAGACGGCACAGCAAGUCUGAAGUGAAAUCCCCGGGCUCAACCCGGGAACUGCUUUGGAAACUGUUGGGCUAGAGUGCUGGAGAGGCAAGCGGAAUUCCUAGUGUAGCGGUGAAAUGCGUAGAUAUUAGGAGGAACACCAGUGGCGAAGGCGGCUUGCUGGACAGUAACUGACGUUGAGGCUCGAAAGCGUGGGGAGCAAACAGGAUUAGAUACCCUGGUAGUCCACGCCGUAAACGAUGCAUACUAGGUGUCGGGGAGCAAAGCUUUCCGGUGCCGCCGCAAACGCAGUAAGUAUGCCACCU
rnacentral:rRNA from 1 species